UAGAGUUUGAUCCUGGCUCAGGAUGAACGCUAGCUACAGGCUUAACACAUGCAAGUCGAGGGGCAGCAUUAUCGGAGCUUGCUUUGAUAGAUGGCGACCGGCGCACGGGUGAGUAACGCGUAUCCAACCUUCCCCUUAGUAGAGGAUAGCCCGGCGAAAGUCGGAUUAAUACUCUAUGUUGUAUUUUGAGGACAUCUGACGAAUACCAAAGAUUUAUCGCUAAGGGAUGGGGAUGCGUCUGAUUAGCUUGUCGGCGGGGUAACGGCCCACCGAGGCGACGAUCAGUAGGGGUUCUGAGAGGAAGGUCCCCCACAUUGGUACUGAGACACGGACCAAACUCCUACGGGAGGCAGCAGUGAGGAAUAUUGGUCAAUGGGCGUAGGCCUGAACCAGCCAAGUAGCGUGCAGGAUGACUGCCCUAUGGGUUGUAAACUGCUUUUAUGCGGGAAUAAAGUCAGGUACGGGUACCUGUUUGCAUGUACCGCAUGAAUAAGGACCGGCUAAUUCCGUGCCAGCAGCCGCGGUAAUACGGAAGGUCCGGGCGUUAUCCGGAUUUAUUGGGUUUAAAGGGAGCGCAGGCGGAGGAUUAAGCGUGACGUGAAAUGUCCCGGCUCAACCGUGGAACUGCGUCGCGAACUGGUUUUCUUGAGUGAGUGCGACGUCGGCGGAAUUCGUGGUGUAGCGGUGAAAUGCUUAGAUAUCACGAAGAACCCCGAUUGCGAAGGCAGCCGACGAGUCCUUAACUGACGCUAAAGCUCGAAAGUGCGGGUAUCGAACAGGAUUAGAUACCCUGGUAGUCCGCGCGGUAAACGAUG
rnacentral:rRNA from 1 species